rnacentral:tRNA from 3 species
GCGGAUGUGGCGGAACUGGUAGACGCGCUGGUCUUAGGAACCAGUACCAACGGUGUGGGGGUUCGAGUCCCUUCAUCCGCACCA